rnacentral:rRNA from 1 species
UACGUAGGGUGCGAGCGUUAAUCGGAAUUACUGGGCGUAAAGCGUGCGCAGGCGGUUUUGUAAGCCAGAUGUGAAAGCCCCGGGCUUAACCUGGGAAUGGCAUUUGGGACUGCAAGGCUUGAGUGCGGCAGAGGAGACUGGAAUUCCUGGUGUAGCAGUGAAAUGCGUAGAGUAUCAGGAGGAAUACCGAUGGCGAAGGCAGGUCUCUGGGCUGACACUGACGCUCAUGCACGAAAGCGUGGGGAGCAA